UGUUUGCUUCCCAGCCUGGGAAAGGAACGAGCCAGAUGGAGAAAACUAAAGUGGUGACUCCCGCUCUGAACCCAGCCUGGACAGCUAGAACAAAGCCUUGUUUGGGCUACUGUGCAAGCGAGGCCAUCUUGAUCCAUAUCUUUAUGGUGAGGCACCCCUUCUUCAUGUGCCCCCACUCACACCGCCUCCCAGCACAGGAAAACAUGGUAUUAUACAGAGCAGGGUCUGAUGUCUUAUCUCUCGUCCAUGAGGCAAGGGCUGGAUCACUCAUGUUACAUGGAAAGCUCUUUAAGACAAAGGUAGACAACUCAAAAUAGCUUCAUGAAGUCCCUGAAAGUGACCAGAUUCACGGCGUCAUCCCUCCCUUCCCAAGAGUAGACAAUGGAGACUACCAGGAAUCACUCUCUGACAAGCCAAUCUGCAGAGAAGACUCUUGAGAACAAACCACAAGAUUCUCCAUCCAACUGAGUCACCUGGACCCUCUCUGUUGAGCUGCCUGCAGGCUGUGCAGUGAAUGCCAGAUUCUGUUCCUAGAAGUGAGUAACCCUUGACCCAUAUUCCUGGAACCCCAAUAAAACGCAUUGGUUCACUGAGUUGGACUU